CGCAUGCGCAAAGGACGCUAUAUAACUGUGAAGCUUACACGGGAAUUUAAAUCCUUUCAAAGACAUUACCGAUUUCAGCCAUGAAGAUUGCUGUUUGCUUUUUUGCCUUAGCUGUUGCGUACGCAUGCGCCGCAUGGUGCUAACAGACGUCAGACUGUGACCCAACUGUGACGGCAUGCAGAGGAGAUACGGUCCUACAUUGUCUUGACUUCCAGUGUGUGUGCGAUUCUCUGGCUGGCGUUGAGGCUCACGAAUGCACGGUCAACGCCGAUUGCCACGACCACAUCCACGACGGGUUCUUUCACCAUUGUGCAAACGGCGGCUGGCAAUGCAUAGCAUAUGACUGCCAAUGCACCAGCGGGCAUGGAAAGUACUUCAACUGCCGUAACCUGUUUUUUAUGAAUGUUAUGUUUUGUAUUGAAAUAAUAAAAUUAUACAUUCAAUUUCA